rnacentral:lncRNA from 10 species
AGGUUUGUAAAAUGCACCAAUCAGCACUCUGUAAAACGCACCAAUCAGUGUUCUGUAAAAUGCACCAAUCAGCAGGAUUCUAAAAGUAGCCAAUCGCAGGGAGGAGUGAAAAAAGGGCAUUCUGAUAGGACAGAAAUGGAACAUGGGCGGGGACAAAUAAGGGAAUAGAAGCUGGCCACCCCAGCCAACAGCAGGAACCCGCUGGGUCCACCUUCCAUGCUGUGGGAGCUUUGUUCUUUUGCUCUUCAUGAUAAAUCUUGCUGCUCCUCACUCUUUGCCUCCCUACCACCUUUAAGAGCUGUAACACUCACAGUGAAGGUCCACGGUUUCAUUCUUGAAGUCAGCGAGACCACGAACCCACUGGCAGGAACCCACUCCAGACACAUCAUGAGACACUAAAGGAGCACUAUGGAGGGGCUCACAUGGGAGAGACAGGUCUGAAGAAAGGCUACUUCCACUGUGCAAGAACCAGAAAUGCAGCUGUACGGAGCUCCGUUACUCACUAUACAAAGUAACAUUUUA